rnacentral:ncRNA from 1 species
UUAAUUUGACUCAACACGGGAAACCUCACCCGGCCCGGACACGGACAGGAUUGACAGAUUGAUAGCUCUUUCUCGAUUCCGUGGGUGGUGGUGCAUGGCCGUUCUUAGUUGGUGGAGCGAUUUGUCUGGUUAAUUCCGAUAACGAACGAGACUCUGGCAUGCUAACUAGUUACGCGACCCCCGAGCGGUCGCCAUGCACUGCUGGGGCCUGUGCUCAAUGCAGAUGGAAGUCAGGGUGCUUACACGUCAUGAACACAACAGUUCAUGCCAGUGCUAGGGCCUGGGCC